rnacentral:lncRNA from 1 species
GAAUGAGAGGAUAGCUUUAAAGCCUUGGGACUCAACUCCAGAUGAAGCAGACCCUGGGCCCCAGACAGGGUGACUGUGCCAGACCCAGCCUGGAAUACAUGGGAGGGUGGCGAAGCCACAUGUUUACCCAAUUUCCAGAACCCGUCUGGCUUAAUGCACUGGCCUGGUUAUGACACCAGCUCUUUGCUUCCCCUCAGCUAACGGCCACCAGCCCACCAGCCCCAGGUUCCUCUUUGCUGAGCUGCCUGCGCUAAGGGUCUCUUGGGACUGUGCCUUCUUUGCUCUGACUUGGGAAAACUGGAGGAGGUCAACAGAUUGCUGGCCCAUUACAGGAGCUCAAUGGGUAUUUGUUGACUGAAUGAGUGAAUGCAUGAAUGAGUGGAGUGGGAGGAUAAAUGAGGAUUAGUGGUGGACUGUGUGUGAAUGAGUGUCUAUGGAUGAGUCCUUGGGCCCCAGAGAUGGGACAGUUUGUGGGUAGGUUGUGUCAGCACAGAUGCAAGUGUGGAAAGCCAGAAGCUGAUGACAGUUCACCAAGGGG